rnacentral:rRNA from 1 species
AUACGGAGGAUCCAAGCGUUAUCCGGAUUUAUUGGGUUUAAAGGGUGCGCAGGCGGGAGAUUAAGUCGGCGGUGAAAUUUUUCAGCUCAACUGUAAAAGUGCCUUCGAAAUUGGUUUCCUUGAGUGUAGAUGAAGUAGGCGGAAUUUGUGGUGUAGGGGUGAAAUGCAUAGAUAUCACGAGGAACUCCGAUUGCGCAGGCAGCUUACUAAACUACUACUGACGCUCAGGCACGAAGGCGUGGGGAUCAAACAGGAUUAGAUACCCUGGUAGUCCACGCAGUAAACGAUGAUUACUAGCUGUUUGCGAUACAAUGUAAGCGGCUGAGCGAAAGCGUUAAGUAAUCCACCUGGGGAGUACGUUCGCAAGAAUGAAACUCAAAUGAAUUGGCGGGG